GACGUAGGUGGCGAACGUUAUCCGGAAUCAUUGGGCGUAAAGGGUGCGUAGAUGGCAUGAUAAGUUAUUAGUGGGAAAUCGAGGCUCAACCUCGUGGAAGCUAGUAAUACUGUUUUGCUUGAGUACGGAAGAGGUUAACGGAACUCCAUGUGGAGCGGUAAAAUGCGUAGAUAUAUGGAAGAACACCAAUAACGGCGAAGGCAGUUAACUAUUCUGUUACUGACAUUGAGGCACGAAAGCGUGGGGAGCAAAACGG
rnacentral:rRNA from 1 species